UCUGAAGUGCUUUGCGAGCACCCGUUUGUGGCAUUUUAACGGGACGGAUCUUCAGUAUUUUCAGUAUGGAAUUACGCCAUGACCUUCAUCAAUCGCCUGUCAAUCAAAAUGUGACAUCCUUGGUUACGGCGCUGACAAGUGACGUCCAUUGUUUUAGAAGUUGGCGUCUAUUUGUCUACUUGUCUGCCUAUCGUCUCAUUGCCUGUUGUCCAUCUGUCUGUCUGUCUUCCUGUACUGUAUAUUUAUUGUCUGUCUGCCUUGUCCUUUUGUCCUUCUCUGUGCCUGCCAUUUCUGGCCCGCCCCAACGGUUCUUUUAAGAACCAAAGUUCUGCUGUCAAUAUGGCUUCAAAGGAAGAUGCUGAGGAUGCUCAUCUUAGGGAGUUUCUGAAACAAGGUCAAGCUUAUGCCAAGGACCUUAAUCCUCAACCGG